UGAAUUGGUUGACAUCUGUCGUCGGAUGCGGUUACAUUAUUUAGUGUAAAAUAUUAUUUAUCAAAUUUAAACACAUAACUAUUCUUUACAUAUUUCUUGCACGCCGGGGACAUAAAAGAAAAGAUUAUUUUGUGACACAAAAUAUUUGUUUUUUAAUAUCCCAAAAUUUGUUACAGUUAUUUUGUUUUAUAAUAUCCUAAUUAUAUAACGUAUUUAUGAAAGAUAACUUAUGUCUUUUAACUAUCUUAUAUAUAAAAUAGACUUUUCUGGCAUUUCCUUAAGCCACGUCAUCAUGGAGCAUGGGGCAAUUCAUGACAGCUGUCCUAUCCUUUUUACGUGAUCAGUGUAUCUCUGUUCUAAUUAAAAUUUUUGGGCUACUAAUUUUCUUUGUUUUGUGGACUCUUACUAGCUGGCCCAUCUCCUAUAGGGUUUCUAGCUCCUGCAAAUUGGAUUUGGCUUAUCCUCCCUCGCCCUUCGUCUCCUUCAAACUCAGAGGAGAGCCUCUGUAACGUCGUCCGUUUCUUCCUUGAGUCUCUUCAUUUAUUACUUACCACUACUCAUCCCACUUAUCGCCACUAUAAAACGGUCCCUUCUCUGCGAUGAAUAGCCACGGUUAUACAGGAUCCUUAAUAUGCUUUUCCUGGAUGAGAAGAUUGGUUUUCUGACUGGUGCUUGAAGAUAGAGCUAUGGUGUAUUGAAUUCUCUUUAUGCAAGAUUUACUCUCCUAAAAGGAUGAUAGCAGACAAAGAUCAUGUGGUUGGAAACUCGGUAGAGAGUUGCAAAGAUGAGUCUAAGCCUCAAAACUGUCCUGAGUAGAAGUGGGAAGAUGCAGAGCCAAGGUCUCGGAAAAUAGGAACAAAAUGACAAUGUCUGUGAGUUGUUCUAUGAUACAAGAACCAGUGAGGACUUGGCAAAAUAAAUGAUGGAAACCAUUCUUGUGGAGAUUCUGAUUGAGACUGGAAAGAGUACAAUUUUGUAACAUCAAUGCUAAUUAGUUGUUCUCGUGAUAUAGAUUUCUGGCGUUUUAUAUGGACAUUUACUUCAUAUGUUACUGCAUAUGUGACUUUUCUGAGACUGUAAUUUGUUACAAAGAGAACAUUUACCAUGUUGUGAAUUACAUAUGUGUCGAUGAGGGUGUGACAUUCCAUGAAUAUUCUGUGUACUGUGCCUUUUUGGGAUUUUUGUAAUAUAAAGUUAAUAUAUUCUUUGAUUAUUUUAUUUCAUUUAAUUAUGUAAUCUAUAUAUGUAUAAAAGUUUCCGAUGUUACUAUGUAACAAAAACUGAGAAGGGAACGUUUGAUGAGAUAUAUGCGAAAGUUCAUCUUCAUUUCUAGAUUAUUAAUGGUUACAUCAUAUUUACGUUUUUC